AUCGCCAAAUUUGAUCUUAGAUUUAUCUUGAAAUUUUGAAUACAUACAUUUAAUUUUAAUACUGUGUGUCUGUUGAUAUUAUAUAUGGAAAUAAAUAGAAAUAUGAUAAUAUUUUUCGAACAACGAAUGCAGCACAAUAAACUAAAGCUUCGCGAACUAAAUGACGAUAUUCAAAAAUGUGUUAUUUUACUAAGAACAAUUAAAAUGAGACUCUCAACGCUACAAUUUCAAUUGAAUUCUUUGAAGAUAAGUUACGAAAUUGUGAUGGAACUUCAAAAAAUUGGUUUGAUCAUACAUCCUUCAUUAAAACUGAAAAUUGUCUAAACAUCAAAGAUAUAAGCGCGUGGACUGUCAUUUCCCCCGGGAUGCACCUGAGGUCGCCAGGACAGAGCAAUGGCCCUGACAGAGGAAAGAGCAUCGCUAAUGGGGAACGUAAUUUAGUAAUCGUUGAUAGGGCUGUGUAUAAAUAAAAUUAAAUAUUAAAAUAUA